rnacentral:snoRNA from 1 species
CCAGGUUGAAUGAGGAUUACAAGUGCAUAGUUCAUAUGAUCAAAUCGUGAUUACUUGAAAAAAAAAAUAGUCUUUUCGCUCCUAUCUGAUGACUUUU